AUGUUCACUUUUAUAUUUAUGUGUCUGUGGCUGUCAUUAGGUGACUCCAUGGCGGAUCCAAUUGAGCCACUUUUCACUCAUAAAGUUGUAGAUGAAAGUAAUAAUGUUACUCUGUCCUGCAGCUACAAAAAUAGUGGUGCAGUACAAAACCUGUUCUGGUACAAACAAUAUCCAAAAUCUAGAGCAGAAUUCCUUCUUUUCAUCACUCCACUUGGAGGGAAAGGUGAGCCUAUACCAGGUAUGACUGCUGAAGUUGAUGAUAAAACUAAACAAGUGGAUCUGAUCAUCUCCUCUGCAGCUGUAUCAGACUCUGCUCUAUACUACUGUGCUCUGGUGCCCACAGUGACAGGAAAUCCAGCUGCACUGUACAAAAACCUUCACACAGUUUUAUUAUAUUAA